UGGGGGAAUUUUCCGCAAUGGGCGAAAGCCUGACGGAGCAAUACCGCGUGAGGGAGGAAGGCUCUUGGGUUGUAAACCUCUUUUCUCAGGGAAGAACAAAAUGACGGUACCUGAGGAAUAAGCAUCGGCUAACUCCGUGCCAGCAGCCGCGGUAAUACGGAGGAUGCAAGCGUUAUCCGGAAUGAUUGGGCGUAAAGCGUCCGCAGGUGGCUGUGUAAGUCUGCUGUUAAAGAGUGAGGCUCAACCUCAUAAGAGCAGUGGAAACUACAUAGCUAGAGUACGUUCGGGGCAGAGGGAAUUCCUGGUGUAGCGGUGAAAUGGGUAGAGAUCAGGAAGAACACCGGUGGCGAAAGCGCUCUGCUAGGCCGUAACGACACUGAGGAUCAAAGGCCCG
rnacentral:rRNA from 1 species